AACCAGAAGGGAUAAGAUAAAGGAACUCUUCAGACAAGGAAGCCUGGGAAAGACCCUACUCUAGCAGGGAACAGACAAAGAACCCAAGGACUGUAGUCCUAAGCUUCAGAAGAAUUCUGCUGGUGACCUGAGGCAUAGUCCUGGAGCGUACAGCAACAAUGUUGGACUGCCUCUGAAUUCCACAAGUGUGGGGUAUUAAUCUAUUAGAGCUUCAGAAUAAUAGUCUCAUUUCAUAGAGCUGAACAUUUCCUGCUGUUAGUCUACUCCAAGUUUACUCUACCAAGAGCUGGAUGUGAAGGCUCCCAGGUAAGCCACAAUUCCUGAAGAAAUGAGGAUAUCUCCAGUCAAAUUGAUGUACUGCCUCCCCAGCUCCAGAGCAGUCAGGUUCCAGCGAGUUUUCUCACCACCAAGGCCUCCAAUCAAUUGUUCUGCUCUCUGUAGCUUUUUGCUGCA